rnacentral:rRNA from 1 species
GAUGAACGCUGGCGGCGUGCCUAAUACAUGCAAGUCGAGCGAAUGGAUUGAGAGCUUGCUCUUAUGAAGUUAGCGGCGGACGGGUGAGUAACACGUGGGUAACCUGCCCAUAAGACUGGGAUAACUCCGGGAAACCGGGGCUAAUACCGGAUAACAUUUUGAACCGCAUGGUUCGAACUUGAAAGGCGGCUUCGGCUGUCUCCUAUGUGUGGACACGGGGCGCAUUAGCUCGUUGGUGAGGUAACGGCUCACCAAGGCAACGAUGCGUAGCCCACCUGAGAGGGUGAUCGGCCACACUGGGACUGAGACACGGCCCAGACUCCUACGGGAGGCAGCAGUAGGGAAUCUUCCGCAAUGGACGAAAGUCUGACGGAGCAACGCCGCGUGAGUGAUGAAGGCUUUCGGGUCGUAAAACUCUGUUGUUAGGGAAGAACAAGUGCUAGUUGAAUAAGCUGGCACCUUGACGGUACCUAACCAGAAAGCCACGGCUAACUACGUGCCAGCAGCCGCAGUAA